GAUGAAGAACGUAGCGAAAUGCGAUAAGUAGUGUGAAUUGCAGAAUUCAGUGAAUCAUCGAAUCUUUGAACGCACAUUGCGCCCUUUGGUAUUCCUUAGGGCAUGCCUGUUCGAGCGUCAUUUGUACCUUCAAGCUUUGCUUGGUGUUGGGCGUUUUUUGUCUCCCUCUUUCUGGGAGACUCGCCUUAAAACGAUUGGCAGCCGGCCUACUGGUUUCGGAGCGCAGCACAUAUUUUGCGCUUUGUAUCAGGAGAAAAGGACGGUAAUCCAUCAAGACUCUACAUUUUUAACUUUUGACCUCGGAUCAGGUAGGGAUACCCGCUGAACUUAAGCAUAUCAAUAAGCGGAGGA
rnacentral:misc_RNA from 1 species